GUAAAUGUCAAAAGAUGCCUUAGAAUGAGUAGUUGGUCAUCAGAGUCAUAGGGUGUCAAGGACUACCUUCCAGUGCUACUAAGCAAUGCUGCAGAUCAGAUGACUAAAAUGUCACAACUGACUUGGAAGGUCCUCCUGGAAAGAAGAGACGUGAGCUGAAAGAGGGAACAGGGACAGAAGUAAGAGGCUGUUGUGAUCUGCAGGCUGAGGACUGGAGAUAAGCAGUAAGGAUUGGGGACUGAGGAAGGACGAGGAGGCGUCAUUCUGCAUUGGAACCUGGAUCCCUUUCUGUGAUCGUGAGGUCUGAAUUCAGGCUGGAACUCACUUGAAACCACUAAUUGAUGGCGUCCUUCAUGCCUUUGAAGAUAGGUCUCUGCUGACACUGGACUGUCUGCGAUCAGAGCUUGUAUCUCCAUCAACUGUGUCCUGGGAAGAGAGCUUGAGUCUGGGUGUGGAGAAAGUCAUUGUGAGCCAGGUGGUAACCACAAGGGGAGUCUUUCAAUGCCGGGGCACCAUGACCCUGGGCACCUAUUUCCCUGCUCUGCCCUAGAGGCACAGAAUGUGUGGGGAGGGUGAAGGGCCACCAAGCCUGCAUCCUUCGUUUGGACAGGGCUACACUUGUGUACAGUCUCUGCCUCAAAGGGCUUAUAUUCUAACAGGGAAAGAUUGAUGACACUCAUGUGACAUGACAAUGAAAACAAUGACAUCUGUGAUGUUUGCUUGUUUAUUGACUUCACUGAAUAUGGAGAGACCCAGAGACCUGCCAGCUCUGCUCCGCAAUGCUGGGGUCACAGUCACCUGCUGCAAUGCCUGGCUUUUAUGUGGGUGCUGGAGGACUCAUGGAUCACUACAGAAAGCACACAAGGCACACACCUUGUUCUUUCCACUUUCCUCCCACUUGUUGUGAUCAGCUCCCUCAAGCUCCUGCCUUCACAGCAUCCCCACUAGGAUGGAUGGUAAGCCGAACUUAAGCCAAACUAAACUUCUCUGCCUUUUGUUUUAGUUUUUGGGCAGGGUCCCUAUGUAGCCUUGGCUGGCUUGGAACUUGAUAUGCAGACCAGCCUGGCCUCGAACUCACAGAGAUUCUCUUGCCUCUGCC